CCCCCGGCGAGCCGCGGCCCGCGCGGCAGCGCCCCGAGGAGGAGCACGGGAGGGGAUUGCUUCUCGUCGCGGCUCUGUGCCGCUCCUGGGGA
rnacentral:tRNA from 1 species